AACGUAGGUCCCGAGCGUUAUCCGGAUUUACUGGGCGUAAAGCGUGUUCAGGCGGUCUAGCAAGUCGGGCAUGAAAUCUCUCGGCUCAACCGGGAGGGGUUGUCCGAUACUGCUGGGCUUGAGGGCAGCAGAGGGUGGUGGAAUUCCUGGUGUAGCGGUGAAAUGUGCAGAUAUCAGGAGGAACACCGGUGGCGAAGGCGGGUCUCUGGGCCGAUACUGACGCUGAGGAGCGAAAGCGUGGGGAGCGAACAGG
rnacentral:rRNA from 1 species